rnacentral:misc_RNA from 1 species
AAGUCGUAACAAGGUUUCCGUAGGUGAACCUGCGGAAGGAUUAUUAACACGUAUCCUAACGUUAAAACCCCCCCCCGUGAACCUUCAUCCUGCUCUUGUAACCCGCGUAGUUCGCAAUCUCUGAUAAAUCAUAGCCCGGAAAGUUGUAGUGAUUCACCUCUGGCUACGUGCGAACAUUGGAACAGUUAGAAAGUGUCAUUGAUUGUGCAAGGAUAGCGCUUCUACGAUUCCUGUAGACCGGCAGGAGCUUUGCCAAAGGGUCCCCAUGCCCCCUAAUAACCCCACAGUUUAAUGUGAAGCUCAGUGUAAUACAUUGGGUAAAAAAACCGAACAACUGUUAACAAUGGAUAUCUUGGUUCUCA